AACGUAGGGCGCGAGCGUUGUCCGGAUUUAUUGGGCGUAAAGAGCUCGUAGGCGGCUUGUCGCGUCGACUGUGAAAACUCGGGGCUCAACUCCGAGCUUGCAGUCGAUACGGGCAGGCUAGAGUUCGGUAGGGGAGACUGGAAUUCCUGGUGUAGCGGUGAAAUGCGCAGAUAUCAGGAGGAACACCGAUGGCGAAGGCAGGUCUCUGGGCCGAUACUGACGCUGAGGAGCGAAAGCGUGGGGAGCGAACAGG
rnacentral:rRNA from 1 species